AUUGAACGCUGGCGGCAGGCCUAACACAUGCAAGUCGAGCGGAUGAAGGGAGCUUGCUCCUGGAUUCAGCGGCGGACGGGUGAGUAAUGCCUAGGAAUCUGCCUGGUAGUGGGGGAUAACGUCCGGAAACGGGCGCUAAUACCGCAUACGUCCUGAGGGAGAAAGUGGGGGAUCUUCGGACCUCACGCUAUCAGAUGAGCCUAGGUCGGAUUAGCUAGUUGGUGGGGUAAAGGCCUACCAAGGCGACGAUCCGUAACUGGUCUGAGAGGAUGAUCAGUCACACUGGAACUGAGACACGGUCCAGACUCCUACGGGAGGCAGCAGUGGGGAAUAUUGGACAAUGGGCGAAAGCCUGAUGCAGCCAUGCCGCGUGUGUGAAGAAGGUCUUCGGAUUGUAAAGUACUUUAAGUGGGGAGGAAGGGCAGUAAGUUAAUACCUUGCUGUUUUGACGUUACCAACAGAAGAAGCACCGGCUAACUUCGUG
rnacentral:rRNA from 1 species